CAGAUCUUCGGUUCUGGCGGUUGGCUCCCGCUGCGUCAUCAUGAGCCAGCCCACGGUGAAUUUACUAAAAAGGUGACGUCGUCCGCUGUGACACAGAUAUGGAACAGUCCAUCCCUAGGCGCAGGUGUCAUCCCUCGAUUUACACAGGCCCCGACAGAGCAACGGCGACUGAAACCUUCAAAUGCACACAUAGAAAAAGUAACGACAUAUGUUGGCCACAUCCUGUACUGUGUAUGGACGGCUAGGAGUUCGGAAGCAAUUUAUGGCGUUCUGCCUGCAUAUUUUUCAUAAAUUUAAAAAUGCAUAUUUCGUU